rnacentral:tRNA from 1 species
GGCUUCACAGCUCAGUUGGUUAGAGCGUCACACUGGUUUCACGAGGUCAAGGGUUCAAACCCCGUUGAAGUCC